rnacentral:rRNA from 1 species
GACGAACGCUGGCGGCGUGCUUAACACAUGCAAGUCGAACGUGAUUUUUGUGGAAAUUCCUUCGGGAAUGGAAGUGAAAUGAAAGUGGCGAACGGGUGAGUAACACGUGAGCAACCUACCUUACACAGGGGGAUAGCCGUUGGAAACGACGAUUAAUACCGCAUGAGACCACAGAAUCGCAUGAUAUAGGGGUCAAAGAUUUAUCGGUGUAAGAAGGGCUCGCGUCUGAUUAGCUAGUUGGAAGGGUAAAGGCCUACCAAGGCAACGAUACAUAGCCGACCUGAGAGGGUGAUCGGCCACACUGGGACUGAGACACGGCCCAGACUCCUACGGGAGGCAGCAGUAGGGAAUCUUCGGCAAUGGACGGAAGUCUGACCGAGCAACGCCGCGUGAGUGAAGAAGGUUUUCGGAUCGUAAAGCUCUGUUGUAAGAGAAGAACGAGUGUGAGAGUGGAAAGUUCACACUGUGACGGUAUCUUACCAGAAAGGGACGGCUAACUACGUGCCAGCAGCCGCGGUAAUACGUAGGUCCCGAGCGUUGUCCGGAUUUAUUGGGCGUAAAGCGAGCGCAGGCGGUUAGAUAAGUCUGAAGUUAAAGGCUGUGGCUUAACCAUAGUACGCUUUGGAAACUGUUUAACUUGAGUGCAAGAGGGGAGAGUGGAAUUCCAUGUGUAGCGGUGAAAUGCGUAGAUAUAUGGAGGAACACCGGUGGCGAAAGCGGCUCUCUGGCUUGUAACUGACGCUGAGGCUCGAAAGCGUGGGGAGCAAACAGG